AUCAGGUAGGAAUACCCGCUGAACUUAAGCAUAUCAAUAAGCGGAAGGA
rnacentral:rRNA from 1 species